GGGGUUAUUAAAAAUGUAGAGUUUAAUAUAUAUAUAUUUUUAUUCUUGACAUUCUGAUAAGGAUUGCGGUAGGCUUCACAGUACACACUGACUGUGUUCCACUUUAUAUGCUAAGCAGAGGAAUAGGGGUAGGCGGGGCUUAGCGUUGUGGAGGCGGGGCGUGGCGGUGGUCUUGCCGAGCAGGAGGGACAGCAGGUUUGUUUCUACACUAGUUGUGAAAAGCAGAAGAAGGGAGGAGGCAGUACAUCCAAUGGGCACCAGCUCCCAUGAAGGUGAAGAUUCCCCUAGGAUUCCCCCAUUCCUAGUAUUAACCAUAAGUGGGGGAAAUGUUAAACUGACCUAGGGUCAGCGUCUAAUGGCAACUUCACUCUCCUCCAUCUCCAGGGCAACAGCCAUUCCUCUUUCAACCCAUGACGCCCUCGUCAUCAUGAACUCAUCUUGACCAAUCAAAGCACAUCAAUCAAUUUCCACAUUCCAUCUAUAAUAUCACAUUGCAUCUUGUAGGUGGCCCUAAAAUAGUAGAUCAUAACUAUAUCCCUAAAAAGACAGUGAUUGACACGUCAGAGAUUGUCAAAAGAAUACCUAAAUCCAUGACAUUGUCACAUUUUCCCCUCUUUCCAUAAAUCAGAAUAAUUCUCAAAAACUAAAUGUAAACAAGUUGAUCUGUAACAGAAAAACAGACUAGAUGAACUGACAAGAUUUGGGGUUGGUAGUUAAAACAGACUGGAUGAACUGACAUGAGGUUUGGGGUUGGUAGUAAAUACAGACUGGAUGAACUGACAUGAGGUUUGGGUUGGUGUUUAACCUCUCUGGGGUAGGUUUUCAAUUCCAGAUGAAAAGCGUGCCCAAAGUAAACUGCCUGCUACUCAGGCCCAGAAGCUAGGAUAUUUAUAUGAUUGGUAGGUUUGGAUAGAAAACACUCUAAAGUUUCCAUAACUGUUAAAAUAAUGUCUAUGAGUAUAAGAGAACUGAUUUGGCAGGCAAAACCCCGAGGACAAACCAUCCAGGAAGUGGAAUUUUUUUGAUGUGGCUUGUUUUCCAUUGAAUGCAUAUACAGUAUCUAUUGGGUUAGGGCCCAGAUCGCAGUUCCUAUGGCUUCUACUAGAUGUCAACAGUCUUUAGACAUGUUUUCAGGCUUGUAUUUUGAAAAACAAUGAGUAAAAAGUAAUUUUAGUCAGAGGACCACGGAAGUAUACAGAGCUGGUUUUGCGCGUUCCCGCGAGCACGACGUUCGUUGUUUUUCCUUUCUAUUGAAGACGCUUUUGUCCGGUUGAAAUAUUAUUGAUUAUUUAGACAAAAGACAUACUGAGGUUUGAUUAUAAACAUCGUUUGACAUGUUUUGACAAACUUUACCGGUACUUUUCGGAUUUUUCGUCUGCCUAUUGUGACCGCUUCUGAGCCUGUGGAUUACUGAACAAAACGCGCCAACAAAACAGAGGUUUUUGGAUAUAAAGAGGGACUUUAUUGAACAAAACAAACAUUUAUUGAGUAAAUGGGAGUCUUCUGAGUGCAACCAUAUGAAGAUCAUUAAAGGUAAGCGAUUAAUUUUAUCGCUAUUUCUGACUUGUGUAACUCCUGUACUUGGCUGGUAACUGUUUGUAAUGAUUUGUCUGCUGGGCGCUGUUCUCAGAUAAUCGCACGGUAUGCUUUCGCCGUAAAGCUUUUUUGAAAUCUGACACAGCGGCUAGAUUAACAAGAAGUUCAUCUUUAAGCCGAUGUAAAACACUUGUAUAUUUUAUGAAUGUUUAUUAUGGGUAUUUCUGUUUUUGAAUUUGGCGCUGUGCAAUUUCACUGGAUGUUGGCCAGGUGGGAUGCUACCCGAGAGAGGUUAAAACAGACUGGAUGAACUGACAUGAGGUUUGGGGUUGGUAGUUAAAACAGACUGGAUGAACUGAAAUGAGGUUUGGGGUUGGUAGUUAAAACAGACUGGGUGAACUGAAAUGAGGUUUGGGGUUGGUAGUUAAAACAGACUGGGUGAACUGACAUGAGGUUUGGGGUUGGUAGUUAAAACAGACUGGGUGAACUGACAUGAGGUUUGGGGUUGGUAGUUAAAACAGACUGGAUGAACUGACAUGAGGUUUGAGGUUGGUAGUUAAAACAGACUGGGUGAACUGACAUGAGGUUUGGGGUUGGAAGUUAAAACAGACUGGAUGAACUGACAUGAGGUUUGGGGUUGGUAGUUAAAACAGACUGGAUGAACUGACAUGAGGUUUGGGGUUGGUAGUUAAAACAGACUGGAUGAACUGACAUGAGGUUUGAGGUUGGUAGUUAAAACAGACUGGGUGAACUGACAUGAGGUUUGGGGUUGGAAGUUAAAACAGACUGGAUGAACUGACAUGAGGUUUGGGGUUGGUAGUUAAAACAGACUGGGUGAACUGACAUGAGGUAUGGGGUUGGUAGUUAAAACAGACUGUGUGAACUGACAUGAGGUAUGGGGUUGGUAGUUAAAACAGACUGUGUGAACUGACAUGAGGUAUGGGGUUGGUAGUUAAAACAGACUGGGUGAACUGACAUGAGGUAUGGGGUUGGAAGUUAAAACAGACUGGAUGAACUGACAUGCCCCUGCAUCCUCCCAGAAAAUAUAUGAAGCCAACACAGACAGUAAACCCUUCAGAACACAUACAAUUAAAUUAUCCGCUUAUAAAUUCAAAACAUAAAUAACCGAUGUGAGGGCACUUGCAAAUUGUCAUACUGUAUAAAUAACCACCACUAUCAAUAUAACUCAGUGUUUAUCACCAGGAUAUACAUAAACAUCUGUACUGUAGGGUGGGGUGGGGUCUAUACCGUAGGGUAGGGUGGGGUCUUUACUGUAGGGUAGGGUGGGGUCUU
rnacentral:lncRNA from 1 species